rnacentral:lncRNA from 1 species
UUGGUUUGUGAUUUAAUGAUAGUAAGCUCAGUAAAAUAUGUUCCCAUUUCUCCUCCCAGUUUUAUGUGUAAUGUGUAAGUGAUAACACCUUAAGAAUGAUAAGCGAUAUUACUUGUUGUUGUGGAGUGCAGCAGGCAGACUAGGAUUAUUGUGUAAGUCACGUCCAUUUUCAGGGUUUGUCCCUGAAAAACAAAGUUCUACCUGCUCUUGGCAUUAAUUAAAUUAGGUAUAAAAAAGUUAUUUCUCACGUAAAUUAAUGCCACUUGACAUUCUAAAUUCUUCUGCCCUUAAAUUCAUAAUUGCCUCAUUUUGCCAUGAUUUAUCCAUUGUGAACUUAGGCCCUGUAACUUACUGAGAACACAGUUGUAAAUGGGUUUCUUAAUGAGGAAGAAAAACAUUUAGUUUAAGGAUGAAACAGCUUUAUUCCCAGCUGUAUUUUAAUAAUGAAUUCCACUAUUCCUUGCCUUCCCUAUAACAUAAUAGAACUUUUAGUUCUUCAUUUUUGAGCAAAUUUUAGAAUGUACUGAUAUAAACUUUAUUCUUUGGAAAUGUGAUGUAUUAGAAACUCAUGCGAAGCUCAGUGGAGGUCAUGCCAGCUACUCCUGGAUGCUGUCACAGAGUUCUAGCAUGUAGUUGCCAAGUCUGCUGAAGCCUUCUUGGACAUCUUCCACUCUGGUGUCUUGGAUGGGCUUCCUUGUCUCUGCUGAGGGCCAAGCCAAGCUGCGCAGUCUACAUUUCAGGCCACUCCCACUAAUUUUUGGCAGACAGACCAGUGACAGCAAGCAGGAAAAGGCUAAAGCUAUGAUCCUGUGCUGCCUGGCCACUCUUUUCUCUCUGAACUUCCCUGGUAUGGGUUGCACUAAACACAGUCAGAGUUAUAACUGGAAAGUUUCAUCUUUCAUAACCAAGCAACCAGUUCUGCUGGCUGGUGCUUCCUGGUCACCAUGGCAACUUAACAGGUUCACCUCAUUCCUUCCUCUGAGGCCGCAUGCCCUGACUGUUCACUGGGCUUUCUUAGAAUUUCCCUUCAAAUAAAGAACUACCGUGCACAUUCAGUAUAUGCUUUUAGUUUUAAUACAAGAUAUUGUGCGACAUUAAAAUUCCAUUACUUUGUUUAAAUUCUUAUUUUGGGUAAUUAGAUUUUUUUAUGCAUCAGCUUAUUCUUGAUUAGAUGCCACUCUUUCUUUACCUCCCAAUGCACACAAAAAUCCCUUUAUGUUAUAUUUGAUACAUAGAUUACUAUAUAUUUAGUAUGUAAUACAUUUAUGUUCUCUAUUAUUACACAGAUUAUAAUCAAUCAUCUUAACCCCCCCCCCCACAAAAAAAAAUAGAAGUGGGAAUUUGAAAUGGCAGAAAUUUAAAAUGUUAGUUGACCAAAUCAGAGCUAAAAGCUAAGAGACAAAGGAAGAGUAAAAAGUUAGUACCAGCCAGGCAGCUGGUGGUGGUGCAGGCCAUUAAUCUUAGUACUCUGGAGGCACAAGCAGGGAAAUCUCUGAAUUUGAGGCCAGCCUGGUCUACAGAGUGAGUCCCAGGAUGGCCAGGGCUACACAGAAACUCCCUACAAAAACCAAACAAAACCCAAAACAACAAUGAUAAAAGUUAGUACCUUUUUGCUUCUCCUCCCCCCCCCCCCCCCCCCACAACCCCCCAACUGCUUUUACCAGUUUCUAUCAGCUGCUGCAAGGCACUUUUUACAUUGCAAAUUUGGCAGUUUUCCUUAUUCUGUUGCUCUUAAGAAAAAGAUAAAAGGAGGCCAUCUUUCCCUGCCCUGGCCCUCAGUUCCUUGGGUGAACAGAGAAGAGAUUUUACUGUUAAAACUAGAAGUAGUUGACAAAGUGUGAUGUACCAGUAGCACUAGCUUGGCUGUUACGUGACUUCCCCUUCUGUUCUGAUCAGGGAAAGAUAUCAGACAGAGGGUCUAAUACAGCGUUUCCACCGCCAGAUUUCUACUGUAAGCAUCAAUGAAAUUAUGUGACUGUGUGUGUGCUCUUCAGCUCUAACUGAUGAAGCUAGAGAAGAAAUCGACUUCCUAAGCAGAUGGGGAAGGCACAGAGCAGCCUUCAUUCCCAAAGGGAGAAGCCAAGAGGAAGAAAGGCAGUGUGGAUAUGAGGGAGUUGUAAACCUAGCAGAGUGCCCAUUUCAAGAUUUUUCAGUUUAGGAACAGUCCUCUGUGUUUCCCUGAUGCUCUCUUCUCUAGCCCUGUGGAAACUGAGGUCCCGUGUCCUCAGUCUGCUGGGAAGCAGAUGGACUCUUGAGGACCUGAGUGGCAGCCUGCCCCAGGAACGCUUAGUGGAAAAAUGUGAUCGUGUCUGUUCAGGAGAACAAGAAACGGGAGUCCUGUUUGAUGGAUUCUCAUGCUUAGACUUUGGAGUCUACAGAUGGAGAGUCAUCUACAGAAAUUAUUGUCACAAUCUAAUAGUCUUUUUUUUUUGUGACUAUUAGAAGGAUUAUGUGCAGAGAGUUUAGCAGCCUUGAUACGGAAUAUCCUCAGGGAUAUUUUGUGAUUUUUGUUGGUUUCAUAUUGUCUGAGAAAUGAUUAGAUUAAUGAAUCAAUAAAUGAGAGUGGUAAUGCACUUGCUUGGGAUUUCAGGAAUCCAGAGAGAAGGUGUUGGCAGGGGACAGAAUUGCACAGCUCACCAGUCUGAUGUCUUUCUUAAAUAGAUUCCUAAUAUAGUUUAAUUGUGACACUCUUAGGUCUCAUUUUGGAAUUAUUUUCUAGAUAGUGCUAAAUUUGUUCCUAAUGCUUUCAGUAUUCACUGUUUCAAAGCUUGACAUUCUGGGAAGAAUGAGUAAAAGUAAAUUUAAUGAGUCAGCACUUAUGU